UGGGGAAUAUUGCACAAUGGGCGCAAGCCUGAUGCAGCCAUGCCGCGUGUGUGAAGAAGGCCUUCGGGUGUAAAGCACUUUCAGCGAGGAGGAAGGUGUGAGCUUAAUACGCUCAUCAAUUGACGUUACUCGCAGAAGAAGCACCGGCUAACUCCGUGCCAGCAGCCGCGGUAAUACGGAGGGUGCAAGCGUUAAUCGGAAUUACUGGGCGUAAAGCGCACGCAGGCGGUUUGUUAAGUCAGAUGUGAAAUCCCCGGGCUCAACCUGGGAACUGCAUUUGAAACUGGCAAGCUAGAGUCUCGUAGAGGGGGGUAGAAUUCCAGGUGUAGCGGUGAAAUGCGUAGAGAUCUGGAGGAAUACCGGUGGCGAAGGCGGCCCCCUGGACGAAGACUGACGCUCAGGUGCGAAAGCGUGGGGCAGCAAACAGGAUUAGAUACCCUGGUAGUCCACGCUGUAAACGAUGUCGAUUUUGGAGGUUGUGCCCUUGAGGCGUGGCUUCCGGAGCUAACGUGUUAAAUCGACCG
rnacentral:rRNA from 1 species